CUUAGCAAUAUACAGGGUGAGAUGAAAAAACUGCAACCAUCUUCAGAUUGCUGUCAUUUCUAAGACACUCGUCCGACAGCUGUUAAAUUGUUCCAUGUAGCAUAGCAUUUUGGUGAGAAUUUUCCACAAAAAAGUUAUUCGUGAUGGAAUUCAAGCGUGAUAGUCUGAUUUCUUUAUAUUUGGCUGGAAAACCACAAGUGGCUAGGUCCCCUUAAAUGUGAAUAAAUCUUUUGUGUCUCGUACCAUCCUUCAUUACAGUGAUACUGGCAGCGUAGCCCGACUUCAAGAAAGUGAAAGAAAACAGCAACAUCAGCAGAAAUGGUUCAAAAAGUAAAGAAGCGAUUUGAUCGAAACCCGCGUCGCAGUGGC